GUGGGGAAUAUUGGACAAUGGGGGGAACCCUGAUCCAGCCAUGCCGCGUGUGUGAAGAAGGCCUUUUGGUUGUAAAGCACUUUAAGCGAGGAGGAGGCUACCGAGAUUAAUACUCUUGGAUAGUGGACGUUACUCGCAGAAUAAGCACCGGCUAACUCUGUGCCAGCAGCCGCGGUAAUACAGAGGGUGCAAGCGUUAAUCGGAUUUACUGGGCGUAAAGCGCGCGUAGGUGGCCAAUUAAGUCAAAUGUGAAAUCCCCGAGCGUAACUUGGGAAUUGCAUUCGAUACUGGUUGGCUAGAGUAUGGGAGAGGAUGGUAGAAUUCCAGGUGUAGCGGUGAAAUGCGUAGAGAUCUGGAGGAAUACCGAUGGCGAAGGCAGCCAUCUGGCCUAAUACUGACACUGAGGUGCGAAAGCAUGGGGAGCAAACAGGAUUAGAAACCCUUGUAGUCC
rnacentral:rRNA from 1 species